CCUACGGGGGGCAGCAGUGGGGAAUAUUGGACAAUGGGGGGAACCCUGAUCCAGCCAUGCCGCGUGUGUGAAGAAGGCCCUCGGGUUGUAAAGCACUUUCAGUGAGGAAGAACGCCUGGUGGUUAAUACCCAUCAGGAAAGACAUCACUCACAGAAGAAGCACCGGCUAACUCCGUGCCAGCAGCCGCGGUAAUACGGAGGGUGCGAGCGUUAAUCGGAAUUACUGGGCGUAAAGCGCGCGUAGGUGGCUUGAUAAGCCGGUUGUGAAAGCCCCGGGCUCAACCGGGGAACGGCAUCCGGAACUGUCAAGCUAGAGUGCAGGAGAGGAAGGUAGAAUUCCCGGUGUAGCGGUGAAAUGCGUAGAGAUCGGGAGGAAUACCAGUGGCGAAGGCGGCCUUCUGGACUGACACUGACACUGAGGUGCGAAAGCGUGGGUAGCAAACAGGAUUAGAUACCCCUGUAGUC
rnacentral:rRNA from 1 species